UCCGUAGGGAGCGAUCGUUGUCCGGAUUCAUUGGGCGUAAAGAGCUCGUAGGCGGCUUGAUAAGUCGGAUGUGAAACCUCCAGGCUCAACCUGGAGUCGCCAUCCGAUACUGUCAUAGCUAGAGUCCGGUAGGGGCCCACGGAACUCCUGGUGUAGCGGUGAAAUGCGCAGAUAUCAGGAAGAACACCAGUGGCGAAGGCGGUGGGCUGGGCCGGUACUGACGCUGAGGAGCGAAAGCGUGGGGAGAGAACAGG
rnacentral:rRNA from 1 species